CCCACUCAGCCAGAUUCAAGGGAAAGGAACAGAAUCUGUUGAUGGGAUGAGUGUAAAUGACACAUGAGAAGAGCAAGUGAGUUGGGAUGUAUUGUUGGAAAAGACAAUCUGACAAAAUGCUCUUUAUCAGAUUGAGGAAGGUCUCUUCUAUUUUUAAGGCAACCAUUGAGAGCUCGGAGUGAUAUCUCACUUAUCAAUCCCUAGACCAGACCACUGUCCCAUUGUAUAGAUCAGAGGACUGCCCCCACGGAAAGGCAAGAAAGGAGGAACAAUGGAGAUCAAAACAGCAAUAGUCAGUCUUCAAAUGGAAGACAAACUGAUAAAUUCCGAAAACAGAAUCAUUAGGUCAAAGGAUAAGGUUUUCAACAGAAAUUGCUCUCCAGAGGACUGUGCCCAUUUAUAAUGUCAUCCAUUAGAAUAAAAGUCCAAUUUCUCUGACUUCUCAGAUGUAUUAGAUACUUAUUAG